GAAGUAGGUCGUGGGGGUGCGGUGUGGUGGAAGGGGAGACGAGGGGCGUGAUGGAAGGAGUGAGGUGCCCGGAGCACGGGACUCUGUGCUUUCUGAAGACCGGCGUCCGCGACGGCCCUAAUAAAGGAAGGAGCUUCUACGUGUGCCGGACGGACACGUGCGGUUUCGUGCAGCCCACAGACAUCCAGGUCUCCCACUGCCUGUUGCAUGAGGACUUCGUGGUGGAGCUGCAGGGUUUGUUGUCAUCACAAGACAAGAAAGGCUACAGGUUGUUCUUCCGCUGCACCAGGAGUAAAGCUGAGGGGAAGCACUGGUGUGGAAGUGUUCCGUGGCAGGAUCCUAAUUACAAAGAACAUUCUGUAACCAGUAAGCCUCAGCAUGUCCUGGAGCCAUGCCGUCAUCCUCUCCAACAGCCAAGGAAUCCAUUCAAGGUGCUGGACAAGAAUCAAGAGCCCGUGCUCUGGAAACAGUUCCUCAAAGGGGACGCUGAGGACAAGGCCGCGGAGAAGCCAGAGGAGAGGAGUGAGGAACUCUUCAGUCACGAGAAGGAACAGAAGCCCGGGUCUAACUGCCAGGCCAAAACAGCUCUGUCUUCUGGCCUGGUGCUGAAGAGACCGCAGCCUGCAGCUGCGGGGCAGAAGCAAGCCGAGAGAAUGGAGUUGCCGCGUGUAGCCAAGGAGACUGAAAGCACACACAAAAGAAACUUGCCUCAAGUGAAACCCAAACAGCAUCAGAGGAGUGAGUUAAGCAGAUCCUCUGCCUCUCAGGAAAGACCAAACUGGGAGAGUCAGAAAGGGUCAGAAGCUCCAAGAGUGCAGGAGACCGAGCCUUUACCUCGGAACGUACCCCGACCGGACGCAGGUGAGCCCCGGAUAGGGCGUUCCCUCGGCAAGGAGCAGCCCGCAAAGCCGGCGGCUGCAGGAGCGAAGGAUGUGGGAGACACUGCAGUGCAGCCUCACCAGAAAGGGCUGUCCUUGGGGCCUUUGCAGCCACAGCCCGUGUGUCCAGGGGCGGCUUCCAAAGGGCAGGCAGCCCCGGGGCCGUCCCCAGAAGAGGGGUGUGCAGCUGCUGCAAGCAGCGAGGACAGUGAGGAGGAGGAUGAUCCUGUUAUCAGCUCUCAUCCAGGCAGCCCUCUGCUCCUCGGUUCGUCCCUGAACUCUGAGAAGGAGCAGAGUCUUCGACUGCCUGCUCCAAGGGUGCACAGCAAGCCCCCUCCUGCCUCGGCUGUCUCCAAGAAGGUGGAACCCUCCAACCCUGCAGCCCAGCGCGUGCACCUGACGACACAACUGAAACAAAAGAAGAGCACACUGGCAUCGGUGAAUAUCCAGGUCCUUCCAGACAAGGGUCAGAAGCUGCUGAAGCAAAUCCAGGAGCUGGAGGAAGCACUCAGUGCCCUUGCCCUCUCUCCAGAACCAGAAGCUGAGGAGAAGAACAACACUCAAGUGCCACAAAAGAGCAACUUCACCAAAAGUACCACUGACCCUCCCCAUUUGGUGCCUCCUCAACCACUUCCGUGUCGUGAUCUCCAGCCCGUGGGUUCUCUAGGACUCACCACUGCGGGCCAGGUAACCGCUGCUGGCCCUGGACAGUCCUGUGGAGGCCAUAAGAAGCAAGAUUACCUUCACACAGUGUGGAAAAUCACCAGUGAAGCCAUUGAUGAGCUGCAUCGAUCCCUUGAGUCCCGACCUGGUGAGGCAGCUGAGGCAGAAGAUCCAGCUGGGCUGAAGGUCCCUUUGCUGCUACACCAGAAGCAGGCACUGGCCUGGUUACUCUGGCGGGAAAGUCAGAAGCCACAAGGAGGAAUUCUGGCGGACGAUAUGGGCCUGGGAAAAACCCUGACAAUGAUUGCACUCAUCCUGACCCAAAACAAUCAAGAGGCCAACAAAGAAAAGGACAAAAACUUGUCUUUGACGUGGCUUUCCAAAGACGACUCGGCUGACUUUAUCUCCCAUGGAACACUGAUCAUCUGCCCUGCUUCUCUGAUCCAUCACUGGAAGAAUGAGGUGGAGAAACAUGUGAACAGCAGCAAACUCAGAGUCUGUCUCUACCACGGGCCGCUCCGGACCCAACACGCCAAAGUGCUGUCAACAUACGACAUCGUGAUCACUACCUAUAGCCUUGUGGCUAAGGAGAUUCCCACAAAGAAGCAAGAGGGAGAAGUUUCAGGUGCAGAGCUGAGUGUGGAGGGCACCUCAACACCUUUGCUUCGAAUAGUCUGGGCUCGGAUCAUAUUAGAUGAGGCUCACAAUGUGAAGAAUCCCCGAGUGCAAACAUCUAUAGCUGUGUGUAAGCUACGAGCCCGUGCCCGUUGGGCUGUUACUGGAACCCCUAUUCAAAACAACUUGUUGGAUAUGUAUUCCCUGCUGAAAUUUCUUCGUUGUUCUCCAUUUGAUGAUUUCAAUCUGUGGAGAAGUCAGGUUGACAAUGGUUCAAAGAAAGGAGGAGAGCGAUUAAGUAUUUUAACCCAGAGCCUUUUACUAAGGAGAACAAAAAACCAACUGGAUUCCACAGGCAAACCUCUGGUGAUGCUGCCGCAGCGUAAAUUUCAGUUACACCAGUUAAAGCUUUCUGAAGAUGAAGAGACUGUAUACAGUGUCCUGUAUGCAAGAUCAAGGUCAGCUCUGCAGUCCUACCUCAAAAGGCAAGAGAGUGGAAGCAACCGAUCAGGAGGAAGUCCUGAUAAUCCCUUCAGCAGAGUGGCCCGGGAGUUCGGGUCCAGUGGGCCAGGGUCCUCCGUGGCUGCAGACUCGCCAAGGUCCAGCACCGUGCACAUAUUGUCCCAGUUGCUGAGACUCCGCCAGUGUUGCUGUCAUCUUUCUUUACUGAAGUCGGCCCUGGAUCCCACAGAACUGAAGAGCGAAGGCCUCGUCCUCUCCCUAGAAGACCAGCUCAACGCUCUGACCUUGUCCGAACUCCAUGACCCAGACCCAUCACCUACUGUUUCCCUUAACGGCACCUGCUUCAAAGUGGAGCUCUUUGAAGACAAACGAGAGAGCACCAAGAUAACAUCUCUGUUGGCAGAACUGGAGGCAAUCCGAAGCAAUUCAAAGUCCCAAAAGAGUGUUAUUGUCUCUCAGUGGACCAGCAUGCUCCGAGUUGUAGCAUUGCACCUCAAGAGGCGUGGACUGACUUAUGCCACCAUCGAUGGUUCCGUCAACCCCAAACAGAGAAUGGAUUUGGUGGAAGCAUUUAACCGCUCCGGCAGCCCUCAGGUUAUGCUAAUUUCCCUCUUGGCUGGAGGUGUUGGUCUAAAUCUGACUGGAGGAAACCAUCUUUUUCUUCUGGACAUGCACUGGUAACAAUGCUGGCUUUUUCUUGAGUUGUCAGAGCACAGCGGGAAGGCCAGUGGUCUAGAGGGAUGAUGAGCACUGCUGACCUGUCACAGUGAAAGUGCUCUGUGUCACGGAGAUGCCUCUGUGCAAACAGGUUUAACAGAGAAAAGGCCUAGUUGGCCUCCCUGAAUUCCUGAGCUGGAACCCAUCACUUGAAGAUCAAGCAUGUGACCGAAUUUACCGAGUGGGGCAGCAGAAAGACGUUGUCGUCCACAGGCAAAUUUGUGUGUAAGGGGACAGUGGAAGAGAAGAUCUUGCAGCUCCAAGAGAAAAAGAAAGAUUUGGCCAAGCAGGUUCUAUCAGGUUCUGGAGAAUCUGUCACCAAGCUCACCCUGGCUGACCUCAAAGUCCUUUUUGGCAUCUAACCUUGCUUACUGAGCACAUAACACUGCCAUUGCUGGCUUGCAUUAGGACCUGGGAAUGACCACUUAACCAUGGUCCUUGGGUUUUGCUCUUGGCAUUCUGUUUCACCUUCAAGCCUUACCCCCUCCUCAAAAUGAAGCAUAAUCUUACCACCCUAGAGCUGAGAGUACAUGUUGGCUAGCCAAUCAACAUAUUUAAUGCGUGGCACAACAGCCAGUUGGUUAUUAACAUAAAGGAAAAUAUUUUGGAAAACAACUCUGGCAGAACUGUACAUAAAUCCCAGUGAAAAUCAGAACACCCCUGGUUGGUUUUUUCUUCUUACCUUUUGGGAGAGCCGGUGUUGUUACCGUCUCUACUACGGCCUGCACCCCAUCUCUUGUCUCAGCUUGCUCAGCACGCUCCCCCAUAGCCAUCUUUUGGUGACGGGCAGAGUAGAUCGCUGUGGCCAGCCAGCCAUUUCAAUGCAGCUGUCUCAGUCCAAGAAGUUAGUUGCUCCUCCUGGGCUGAAGACCAACGGAAUGCUUUGUAUGAAGGCACUUCAAAAAUUUUGUGGAAAAUGGAAGUAGAAUAUUGUUUAUUUUGGUGCAAAAAUGUUUGAAAUCUGUGCACAUUUUUUCACACUAGACAUUUCCUCUGAGUUUUCUGAAGUCCCUUCAUGUAUAAACUGAGUUGAAUAUCAUGGUAUCAUCUACUGUCAGUGUUAUCAUUUAGUGGUGUAUCAUUUUGAUAUUAGUGUAUGUCACUAGUAGUAUUGGUUACCAUCAUGUUACUUAACGUCAUUGCACUAUUUAGUAUUUUCAUCAUGUAACAUAUGUAUCAUAAUUUAAUAUUUUUAUAAUCUAACAGUAUUUUAGUUACAAGUUUAUAGUGUUUGUAGAAUUUAGUAUCAUUUCAUUUUGUGUCACUUGGUGGUGACAUCAUUGUAUCUGUAGUAUUUGUAUUAUCAUUGACAUGAUGUAAUAAACAUGUCUGACCAUGUAA